GCAAACGCGAUGAAAAAGAAAGUAGAAUCAAGGUAGUUGUCUAGCAGAGAGUUCCGGUAGGUGAGAAGGAACGACAACGAAUGAUUUGAAAAUGACUUUGGAGCGGAUUUUCUGACUAAUUAGGAAAAUACGGUUGCCCCGUUAACAAGCGACAGUCUCCGAGUGUUUUCGGGUACUGAAUGAGGUGAAGCCUGUGAAGGUUUUGCAGAUUAAGGUGGUACCGCAGGUGAUGCCCUUAGC
rfam:Enterococcus sp. 2G9_DIV0600 scaffold00001, whole genome shotgun sequence.